GCUGCAGUUUAGAGAUAGCUCAGACUGGGGCUGCAAGAGCAGACAGAAGGAUGGAGAGAAGCAAUGAGAGAGCAAGCGAUGAAAAAAGAAAGAGCGUGACAGGUUUCCGAUUGAGAGUAUGACGAAGAUGUAUGGAAGGAAUGAAGCAGCAUUGAGGGACUGAACACGGCCUGGACUGUGAAACAGAAACAAGGAGACCACCUGUAAUCUAUCUGAACGCCAGCAAGGAAACAAAGAGAUACAGACUUUUUUUUUUUCCUAAGAGACAAUCCACAAGCUUCGGUCUCAGAAGGAUUCAAAGUCAUGAUUGUGGUUUGUAGGCUUAAGAAAAAUACAGAGCAUGCGAUGGCGAGUUGUUAGGAAGCGGCAAAAAAAAAACGGAAACAGUUGCAAUAUUAUGGAAGCUAAAAGGGAGGAGAGAGCAGCAUGACUCACAGCAGCUUGAAGGCUGUGUUUUGUAUGCCGGAGGAGGGCUAGAGGGAGAUAGAGGAGAAAUGAGAGAGACACGGGACGAUAAGUAGAAGGAACCUGAGUAGAAGUGAGCAGUUGUCAGAUGAAUAAAGAAGCCGCAAACGGGAGGCGAUGAGUGACAGGCGGCAGGCAGAGUGAAUCGGUUAGCUGGAGGGUUACGAAGGUGAAAGUUGGAGUAGAGUUGAGGAAGUGGUUGGUUUAGUAUGAGGGAAGGAUCACUGACAAGACCAAUAAUGACAGAAGAACAUGCUAAAACAUAGCUCCUCGGUUUGCAUAUGGGAAGUGUUGCAGCGGAAAUGUGACAUAGGGAUAUGAGAAGAAAUCAGGCCACAGAGCAAAAAUCCAAGCAGAAAGCUGUAGUUUUUAAAAAAAAGGACCAAAAUAGAAAUGCAGUAGACCAGAAAACAUGUCAGCGUAUGCACAAUGCCAGAGACAGCAUGGAAACUUUAACUGUGACAACGACACAGCAAGAGAUUCCCGUUAAAUAUUUAUGCUGACAGUCCACUCUGGAAAGAACUUCUUCCGUCACAGAGAGAAAACAGAUUGCUUUUAAUCCUGUGAGAUUUUUUUUUAUUUUUAUUUUUUUACACUAGACAAGCUGCUAAGUGUGUCAGGAUACGUUAAUAUCUUGCUGCAAACUUGCUGGGAUGUGACCACUUGGAUGCGAUUGGACAGGUGUGAAGAGAGAGCAUGGACUCCUGGAAGAAGAUGUGGAGUUGUGGAAGUCAAGAUGGAGGACAUGCACAUUUAAUUAGUUUUUUUUCCUGGCAUAUGUGCAGAGAAUUAAGCUUGAUCUUGACACUUACCACUGCCAUAUCAACCUUUUAGAUUUGGUCUAAAAAUUGCCCUUAAUUAAUCAUGUGGAUUAAUCCAGGUAAGCCAUAGCUUGAGGAAGUACUAUUUUGUGCAUCAUCCUGAAGGAUCGGGAAUAUAUCAUUUUUUUCUCCAUGACUCUUAAUGGCAUCAAGGUAUUAAGACAGUGACUCACUCGGCUCCGACCUGAAUAUCUGAUUCCUCAAAACAAUAAAAUAGGACAGCACACAGUCUCUCACCCCGCAGCUCUACAAAGACCAGCUUGGUGUUUAUGUGCGGGCGCAAGGACUGUCGAGGAGCUCCGCUGUGUCCGUGAACAUGCUUGUGAGGGAUGUAGACUUGCUUGUGCCUGCCAAGCUUCCAAGCCAGCUGUGUCUGUGCAAUUUUUACCCCAAACGUCACCCAGAGCUGUGUGUGUGUGCGUGUGCUGCCUGGAUUCCCACUGGCGAUAGAGCUGGACCUGGGCAGCGGUGUUGAGUGAGUGGAGGGGGGGGGGAGUACCAGGAGAGGGACGAGGAGGAGAAUAGUGAGGUGAAAGAAACCAACAGGCAAGAAGACAGGAAAAAAACGGACAUCAUGCUUGGAUAAACAAAAGAAAGAAAGGAGUUUCUGGCUGUCUCCCUGGUGCAAUGUGUGGCAUCGUGCCCUGUGGCGCUGGGGUUCUGUGAUGGUAACCAUGGUCCCCGGCAGCCGCUAUGUAUGCAGCACUCAUGCACGACAGGAGGACUCCACGAAUGAUCGAGAAGAACGAAUUUUAGCCGUCUUGGGCAUCAUCGGAACCAUUCUCAAUCUUUUAGUCGUCAUAUUUGUCUACAUAUACACCUCGGUCACUUAAGCGCUUUGGACAGUUGGCGCCAUUCCCAACAUUCCUACUGCCAUACAUGUCGGAUGGGAGGAUCCUUGGCUGGAUAGUCACCAUCCAGGACAGUUCUACUCCAUUUCCUGAAGACUGCUGCCAAUGUCAAGUCUUCGUUCCCUUCCUGCUCAUAUCCAGCUUGUCAUCUUAAGACAGCCUCCUGCCAAAUGACUGCUGACACUGCCUGUAGUCAUUACAUUGCAUUUCUAUGAAAAUGGGGCUUGAUGGUGGAUUAACUGUGCUGUGUCAUAUCACACUGUAAUAUAUAUUAAGAUUAUUGUUUUUAUUUGUGGGAUAGGGUUUAUUUCACUGCCAGAUAAAUAAUUACAGACCAAUGAAUAAAGAGGACACUGCAUAUAGUUUUAAUAGAAACAAUGAAAGCUCAAAUGUCACUUGACCAAUCAACUGAAGGACUUUUGUGCCUCACUUUUAAAAGUUUAUCUUAAUGUGCAUAUCAGCAGAUAAAUACACAAUGUUGUACAUUUCUAUUUACUGUAGCAAGCAGUUUUAAAAAAAAGAAUUCCAUGGAACUAACUUGUCCAUACCCGAGCACACCAGAAGAGAGAUUCCUGGCACUGCUGGGGGUCAUCGGCAUCAUACUUAAUCUUUUGCUGCUCGGCUUUGUCUACGUAUACACAUCUAUUUGAUACCGGGAAAAUAUUCAGCGUACAAUAUAUUCAGCUAUAUUUAGAAACAGCGUACAUGGGCAUAUGUGUCGUCUAGAUACACAUACUCAGUUAUUCACAUUUUGCACACGUCAGUUUAUAUUUCAUUCAUUUCCUGCGGCCCAGAUUAACAUCAUGACAUGUUUACUUAAGCUUCCAUUACCAUGGACGUUGCUAUGCUCUAACUAAAAUGACAGAUGUAAUUGAAUUAACACAGUUUUGUGCGAUUUGCCUUUUCAUGUUCACACUAUAAAACACAAAAAUGGAUCGAGAGGGUGUUGCCAAAUCAACCGUGGGUAUCAGCUCUCACAACAGCAACGAUCCCUCCAUGGAUGCUUGGUGUCAAAGAGUAAUGGUUUAUUUCCUGGUGCCCUGCCUCUUUGAUUGAAUCUGUCAAGCCGGAAUGGAGUACCGUCAAAGAUGUGAAAGUGUGAAACUGAGACAAUGUCACACAAAUCGAGACAGGAAUGAGCAAUGGGAAUGAGCAGAACCCGUUGAUACUGUCUUACAUUACUGGUACUAAUGGGAGGCUUUUACUGCCUGUUUGCAGUCAUGGAAAAACACCAAAAAUGACCUGCCAUUGGCUUGCAACAUUUCCCCUAAAGUUGCAUGUCAUUCUGGAUAUAAUCUGGGACUCUGAAGGUGAACAAGGACUGGUCUGAAUCCUCACCUCAACACUAGACCGACAUGGAUCUCUGCAGUAAAGCACACCGCUUUUGUACUGACACACACAGCCCGGUGCAUCUAAGCACCAAGGACGAGCUGAUCAUCAAUCAGUCAGGAGCUUGGAAGUAGACUUAUGAACCAUAUCACAACCACAGCGUUUUUUGCCAUGUAAAAAUAACUUUUGACUUUUUAUAAUCAUUUUAUUUUGAAGUAUUAUUGUGAAUUUUGGCAGUGUUUUCAUUUGAAAUCUGUUCUGAAAAGAACAUGGGGAAAUACGAUAACACAACAUACAACAUAUGCAUUACUGGAUUGUUUUUUUGUUUGUUUUUUUUGUUUCACCAAGUACAAACAGACGCAGACAGUUAUGUACGGUGGCUGAAAAAGGGGCAAACACUCUGCAAAGUCCAAAUGCUACAAACACAAACAUCUGCAGGAUCAACAAUAAUCUUUUGACUUUACAGUUUACUUAACAAUACAGAUGGAGACAAGCUGUCCUAUAAGCAGUUGGAUACAUUGUUGAAAAGAUGAAAAAAAUUCCAAUAUUUUCUCUAGCUUUGAUUUCAAGCAUCUCCAAUGUCACAACUUUUGUUUCUGUCCAGAGUUGCAUCCAUUUUUUGCCAAGAUCUUAAUGAUGGCGGGAGACAGAGACCACUACUCAAAGUUUCAUUACUGUGUUUUGACUUUUAUAAAUGCAUUGGAAAGUUGUUGUUUUUUCUGGAAAGUUACAAUUUUAGUAGUUUCAGUAGUCAGCUGUGCUUGAUGCAUGCCGAUAAUUUGACCCUUCCGAAACAGAUGAACAUCACGCAAAUUGUUCAAGAUAGUUGUGUAAGAAAUGAGAAGCUACACACUGCCACUGAAACAAUCACUCAUGCAGUAAAUACCCAAUGGGAGGCUCUUGAUUUUUUUUUUGUCCAGACGGUGUAUGUUGCUAGUAAACAAUAUUUUAAAUGUGCAUCACGGUGAAUGGAAACACCCUUGUUUUGGUUUGGACACACAACCCCUUCCUGCAUUAUCAUGGAAAUUGUUGCUAAAAAAAGGAACUGCAGUGCAAUUCUUCUUUAAACUGCUCCCAUUACAGAUGAAAUACCUUGACAACAAAUUAAUAAUUGAUGUGAAAAUGUAUCUUUAAAAAAUUGGUCCCUAAAAGCACAAUGGCUGAGUGCACAGAACAGACAUGUGCCAUCACUCUCCUUUAAUUGAAUUGAUGCAUCAUAUACUCCAUUUCAAAAGUCAACCGUAAGCAAAGCCAGUGAAAUGUAUCAUAGCUCACAAAGUUUAAAAUGUUUGUACACAAGCAAAUAUAUAAAAAUCAUUUAACCGGCUCAGGUUUACUUUGAUGGAAGUAGAGGCUUUACCAGUGUGGCUUUUUAAAGGUUGACCAAAAUAUAUACAUACAUAUAUAUGUAUGUAUAGUCUUUAAAUUACAUAUUUUUUCGGGUAUAACUUUAAACCUGAAAAUUUUUACAGUCAAAGGUUUUAAUAUUGAUCCCAAAAUAAUACUGCUGUUUGAUAUUGUGAAAAACUUCAACAGACCUAGAAGUAGAAAAGUCAUUGUUUUAAUAACAAUUCUAAGUGCUGUCAUGCUCUUGUCAGGGAUAGUGUCAGGGAUAUGAAUAAAUAUAUUAAUUCCCAAAAAAUUCUUAAAUAAAAUAUUUUAUUACUGUGGUUUUCUGCAUGAAUUUAAUGUUAAAUUUGGUUGAGACAAAUUUUAACUUGACUUGAUGCCAAACAAGCAAAAAGCCCAGAGGUCAUUUUGUUGCCAUCUGCUUUGCCCACAGACACCCAGCCACCCCCUCAGUGUACACGCACACACACACACACACACACACACACACACCUUCUCUUUUCGCAAUGUAACAUCAUGUUUUUGUGUGUUCAUUUUGGUACCUAUUUUUAAUCACUCUACAAAUAAAUUUGCGUUCACACCACUAAUGGGAAGCGCCUUCCAAGCCACAGGAAAAACAGCUGCACGCACCUGGGACUUGACGCACAAGAGUGAAAUAAAACCGAUGUUCAAUCCACAUCUGUAUUCACAAAUGUUCAUUCUGAGUCUCAGCCUGUCAACGACUGUAUAAUGAAAUACUCAUGCUUUUUUCAUGAUGCAUUAGUUGAACUGAUUUUUAGCCUGCCAAGGCAUCUCGGAUGCCUCAGAUUGGAGGGAAAAAAAUGUUGAGAAUAAGUGGAUGCUGGAAAUAUUCUAAUUGCUGAUGAAUAUUUAGGAGACAUAAGUCCCAGAGGAAUAAAAGAAAUGGCAAAAUGCAUGGUAAGGCAAUGGUAUAAUGAGGUUCAACGAAGCAAAAAAAAAAAAGGAAAAUAAUUAUAGUUUUGAAAAGAAACAUUUAUUCAAAAACCUAAUGAUUAACUCAUCAAUUUGAAUAUUUGUUUAUUAUUUCUCACAUUGUCAGCUAAAUAACUGUCAGCUGUGUUCAAACAUACAAACAAUCUGAUAUUCCAAAGGUCAUGCAUUACUAGUUCAUCCAAUUAUCCGCUGUAUAUUUAUAUUUCCUGUUAUACUGUGUAUAAGGAUACUACAGUAUAGUUAUAGUAAUGCCAAUGAAACGUUGCUUUCAUUCUGAGACAUUUUCACUUCAACACUGGAAUAUGACAACUGUAAUGUUAUUUGUGUAAGCUGUUUUGUGGGAUGGAUGAAUGACAUUUGUAUUA